UACGUAGGGGGCUAGCGUUGUCCGGAAUCAUUGGGCGUAAAGCGCGUGUAGGCGGCCCGAUAAGUCCGCUGUGAAAGUCCAGGGCUCAACCCUGGGAUGCCGGUGGAUACUGUCGGGCUCGAGUCCGGAAGAGGCGAGUGGAAUUCCUGGUGUAGCGGUGAAAUGCGCAGAUAUCAGGAGGAACACCAAUGGCGAAGGCAGCUCGCUGAGACGUGACUGACGCUGAGACGCGAAAGCGUGGGGAGCAAACAGG
rnacentral:rRNA from 1 species